rnacentral:rRNA from 1 species
GACGAACGCUGGCGGCGCGCUUAACACAUGCAGUCGAACGGAAAGGCCUGCUUUCCCUUGUGGAUUGCGGGUACUCGAGUGGCGAACGGGUGAGUAACACGUGAGUGAUCUGCCCCCAACUUGGGUAUAAGCCUGGGAAACUGGGUCUAAUUCCCGAUAGGACUGCAGGGUGGUGCCUGUGGUGGAAAACGAUUUUCUAGUGGUUGGGGAUGAGCUCGCGGCCUAUCAGCUUGUUGGUGGGGUAAUGGCCUACCAAGGCGGCGACGGGUAGCCGGCCUGAGAGGGUGGACGGCCACAUUGGGACUGAGAUACGGCCCAGACUCCUACGGGAGGCAGCAGUGGGGAAUAUUGCACAAUGGGCGGAAGCCUGAUGCAGCGACGCCGCGUGGGGGAUGACGGCCUUCGGGUUGUAAACUCCUUUCGACCGCGAGGAAGCCACCUGGUUGGAAGGGUGGUGACGGUAGUGGUAGAAGAAGCACCGGCUAACUACGUG